rnacentral:rRNA from 1 species
UUGACGGGGCCCGCACAAGCGGUGGAGCAUGUGGUUUAAUUCGAUGCAACGCGAAGAACCUUACCUGGGCUUGACAUCCCGGGAAUCCCCCUGGAAACAGGGGAGUGCCCUUCGGGGAACCCGGUGACAGGUGCUGCAUGGCUGUCGUCAGCUCGUGUCGUGAGAUGUUGGGUUAAGUCCCGCAACGAGCGCAACCCUUGUCUUUAAUUGCCAUCAUUUAGUUGGGCACUUUAAAGAGACUGCCGGUGUUAAGCCGGAGGAAGUGGGAUGACGUCAAGUCCUCAUGGCCUUUAUGCCCAGGGCUACACACGUACUACAAUGGCAGGUACAAAGGGCAGCGACACAGCGAUGUGAUGCGAAUCCCGAAAAGCCUGUCUCAGUCCGGAUCGGAGUCUGCAACUCGACUCCGCGAAGUUGGAAUCGCUAGUAAUCGUGGAUCAGCAUGCCACGGUGAAUACGUUCCCGGGCCUU